rnacentral:lncRNA from 1 species
GGUCUUUCCCUGACUUGGGUCCACCCAAAAGUCAACAACAACAAUUUUGGCGACCAUCGUCUUAGUUGUCACGCUGAAGUCGAUAGUUUGGCUGCCUAAUUUGUUGCAUCGAUCAUGUAUACAGCAUCGUCAUCCUGGCUUCUGACAAUCAUAAAACCGCCACGCUAGGUCUGUACGUUCAUGUAGAAUUGCGACGUCUGUGGUAACAAGGGGAGCUUUUUACGGCGUAUCCUAACCAAGCUUGGGACAGCCUGAUCUUCGUAGCGUCUUCUGUGUAGCUAGCUGGUCCAGCUGGUCGGCUUUCGCCAUAAAUCUACUGAAAGCCGAGCAGCUACAGGAUAACAUGCAAAGUGAUAAUGAUCUGGUGUGGCCUGCGGCGUGCGUGGUAGCAACUGAUCACGAAGGACAACACAGAGAGGCGUACAUGGUGGCUGCUGAGCAUACCCGACCAGCGCAUAAUUCAGCCGCUGGCAUAGGUCCGUGUGGUGAUGAUCACCAAAGGUAUCCACCAGUCAUCCUUUCACCGUUCCAACCUCGCUCGGAUGUUACUUU